GACGAACGCUGGCGGCGUGCCUAAUACAUGCAAGUAGGACGCAGUUGCGAACGGGUGAGUAACGCGUAGCUAACUGCCUAUGAUAGGGGGAUGACUAUUGGAAACGAUAGCUAAUACCUGAUACUAGUAGAUGGAACUGCGUUGGAUGAGCUAGUAGGUAUGGUAAUGGCGUACCUGGGCUACGAUACAUAGCCGACCUGAGAGGCUGAUCGGCCACACUGGGACUGUGACACCGCGCAGACUCCUACGGGAGGCAGCAGUGGGGACUCUGCGGGAAUGGGGGGAACCCUGAACGGGCUACGCCGCGUGAGUGAAGAAGGUUGUCGGAUCGUAAAGCUUUGUUGUUUAGGAAGCGGUACUUAGCCAGAAAGCGACGGCUAACUACGUGCCAGCAGCCGCGGUAAUUC
rnacentral:rRNA from 1 species